rnacentral:piRNA from 1 species
AGCAGGUUUUCAAAAAGGACUAGGGGGU